rnacentral:rRNA from 1 species
UACGGGGGGGAGCAAGCGUUGUUCGGAUUUACUGGGCGUAAAGGGCGCGUAGGCGGCGUGACAAGUCACUUGUGAAAUCUCCGGGCUUAACUCGGAACGGUCAAGUGAUACUGUCGGACUAGAGUACAGAAGGGGCAACUGGAAUUCUCGGGUGUAGCGGUGAAAUGCGUAGAUAUUGGGAGGAACACCAGUGGCGAAGGCGGCUCACUGGACCGGUUCUGACGCUGAGGCGCGAAAGCGUGGGGAGCAAACGGG